rnacentral:lncRNA from 1 species
CUUCAAUCCUGUUGUGCACAGAGGAAAAAUCCAACACUUCAUUUUUUCCCUUCUCCCCUUCACUUUGCUUCCUCUUUUCCUGCAGGCUUUGGGCUAUCCAGUCUUGGAUGUGGAUUAGGCAGAGCACCUUGGAAACUCAGCUGAAGGUGGGAUUGGAGCAGUGUUAGAACCAUCAUGGGUUCUCCCAAGAUUGUGGAUAACUGGGGAGAAUAUUUGGAAUAAAGAAAUGAAAUGCAUGAGGGGAGUUUCAUGUUCCCAAGGGAAUGCUUCAGGGAUGUACAGCUUCUGAACUGCACAAUUCCCAGCCCAGGACUAAAGUUCCCUGGUGUUCCCU